GAGAGGUGGCCGAGUGGUCGAAGGCGCCGCACUGGAAAUGCGGUGUAUCGCAAGGUACCGCGGGUUCGAAUCCCGCCCUCUCC
rnacentral:tRNA from 1 species